rnacentral:rRNA from 1 species
AUGAACGCUAGCUACAGGCUUAACACAUGCAAGUCGAGGGGCAGCAUGGUCUUAGCUUGCUAAGGCCGAUGGCGACCGGCGCACGGGUGAGUAACACGUAUCCAACCUGCCGUCUACUCUUGGACAGCCUUCUGAAAGGAAGAUUAAUACAAGAUGGCAUCAUGAGUCCACAUGUUCACAUGAUUAAAGGUAUUCCGGUAGACGAUGGGGAUGCGUUCCAUUAGAUAGUAGGCGGGGUAACGGCCCACCUAGUCUUCGAUGGAUAGGGGUUCUGAGAGGAAGGUCCCCCACAUUGGAACUGAGACACGGUCCAAACUCCUACGGGAGGCAGCAGUGAGGAAUAUUGGUCAAUGGGCGAGAGCCUGAACCAGCCAAGUAGCGUGAAGGAUGACUGCCCUAUGGGUUGUAAACUUCUUUUAUAAAGGAAUAAAGUCGGGUAUGCAUACCCGUUUGCAUGUACUUUAUGAAUAAGGAUCGGCUAACUCCGUGCCAGCAGCCGCGGUAAUACGGAGGAUCCGAGCGUUAUCCGGAUUUAUUGGGUUUAAAGGGAGCGUAGAUGGAUGUUUAAGUCAGUUGUGAAAGUUUGCGGCUCAACCGUAAAAUUGCAGUUGAUACUGGAUAUCUUGAGUGCAGUUGAGGCAGGCGGAAUUCGUGGUGUAGCGGUUAAAUGCUUAGAUAUCACGAAGAACUCCGAUUGCGAAGGCAGCCUGCUAAGCUGCAACUGACAUUGAGGCUCGAAAGUGUGGGUAUCAAACAGGAUUAGAUACCCUGGUAGUCCAUGCCGUAAACGAUGAUUACUAGGUGUUGGAGGAUUGACCCCUUCAGUGCCGCAGUUAACACAAUAAGUAAUCCACCUGGGGAGUACGACCGCAAGGUUGAAACUCAAAGGAAUUGACGGGGGCCCGCACAAGCGGAGGAACAUGUGGUUUAAUUCGAUGAUACGCGAGGAACCUUACCCGGGCUUAAAUUGCAGAUGAAUUACGGUGAAAGCCGUAAGCCGCAAGGCAUCUGUGAAGGUGCUGCAUGGUUGUCGUCAGCUCGUGCCGUGAGGUGUCGGCUUAAGUGCCAUAACGAGCGCAACCCUUGUUGUCAGUUACUAACAGGUUCUGCUGAGGACUCUGACAAGACUGCCAUCGUAAGAUGUGAGGAAGGUGGGGAUGACGUCAAAUCAGCACGGCCCUUACGUCCGGGGCUACACACGUGUUACAAUGGGGGGUACAGAGGGCCGCUACCACGCGAGUGGAUGCCAAUCCCAAAAACCUCUCUCAGUUCGGACUGGAGUCUGCAACCCGACUCCACGAAGCUGGAUUCGCUAGUAAUCGCGCAUCAGCCACGGCGCGGUGAAUACGUUCCCGGGCCUUGUACACACCGCCCGUCAAGCCAUGGGAGCCGGGGGUACCUGAAGUGCGUAACCGCGAGGAGCGCCCUAGGGUAAAACUGGUGACUGGGGCU